AGAUGCAAGAGGCUCCUCCCCCCGUCUCUGAUCCAUCGUUAGUCUGAGGGGGCGGAGUCAGAGGCUCCUCCCCCGUCUCUGAUCCAUCGUUAGGCAGGAGGCGUGUCCAAAGAAAACACUAAAUAAUGACACAUUUUUUAAGGUUGAAAAAUUUAGAUAUAUGAAUUUAAAGUCUCAGAGAAUUUAGGUUAUUGAAGAUAAUUUUUAAAGAAAUGAUGAAUUUAUAUUCCUGAAUAAUCAGAGGGAAAUGGAAGAUAGUAUGAUUAUAUAUUUAUAUGUUUCAAUAUGAAAUGGUCCUGAUCUGGUUUUUAAAUAACUGUUAGCCGUCGCUCAUCCAGUCCUAUACUGCCCGGCAAAUGGGUUGCUUUUUUCAAGAGGGGGGGGUGGGGUUUGUAGCAUGGCAUGAUGACUCCUCCCCUUUCUUCACCCAAACAGGAAGUUGCUCUUCUCUUCUGCCGUUAAAAAAAAAAA